GUAGGGAAUAUUGCGCAAUGGGGGAAACCCUGACGCAGCGACGCCGCGUGAGUGUUGAAGGCCUUCGGGUCGUAAAGCUCUGUUGCAGGGGAAUAAAAAAAUGAAGGUACCCUGUGAGGAAGGAUCGGCUAACUUCGUGCCAGCAGCCGCGGUAAGACGAGGGAUCCUAGCGUUGCUCGGAAUCAUUGGGCGUAAAGAGGGCGUAGGUGGCUUGGUAAGUCAGGUGUGAAAGCCCAGGGCUCAACCCUGGAAGUGCAUUUGAUACUGCUGAGCUUGAGUGUCGGAGAGGUUACCGGAAUACCUGGUGUAGUGGUGAAAUACGUAGAUAUCAGGUGGAACACCGGAGGCGAAGGCGGGUAACUGGACGAACACUGACACUGAGGCCCGAAAGCGUGGGGAUCAAACAGGAUUAGAUACCCCGGUAGUCC
rnacentral:rRNA from 1 species